GGGCCGGUAACUCAGUGGUAGAGUGUAGGACUGCAGCCCGUGACCUCUAUACGUCGCUUCAUACUGCCUUCCCGAAGUCACCGGUUCGACUCCGGUUCGGCCCU